rnacentral:lncRNA from 1 species
AAAUGAAGGGUAAGGUAUGUCCUUAGGAAGGGAGGCAAAUGCUGGCUUUGGGAGGGGUGGGAACUCAGGCAGCUUAGGGAGUUCUGGUUUGGGCACAUUUGGUAAUUCUGGCAAUUUUGGAACUUCAGGUUUAGGAAAAUUUGGCAAUUCAGGAAAUUUAGGGAACUCAGGUUUUGGCAGUUCUGAAACUUCAGAUAGUUUAGGCACGUUUGACGAAUCUUUUGAGUGAUCAAGGUUAGGUACUUUUGGUAAUUCAGGCAAUUUCGGCUUUUCCAAGGGUGGAAGAUGAGGCAAUGGAGGUAACUCAACCUUUGGCAAUGGAGGAAACUCGAGGUUUGGCAAAGAAGGUAUUUCUGGUUUUGGAAGCUCUUCAGGUAAUGGAGUUUCCAAGAGAUACCUCGCAUCCACGGUCAUGAUCGAAAUAUCAAAAUUCAUCAACAUAAAAACACCAAGUAUCAAAGGAAAUACCAAA